UACGUAGGGGGCAAGCGUUGUCCGGAAUUAUUGGGCGUAAAGAGCGCGUAGGCGGUCCGAUAAGUCGGCUGUGAAAGUCAGGGGCUCAACCCUUGAAAGCCGGCCGAUACUGUCGGACUAGAGUCCGGAAGAGGCGAGUGGAAUUCCCGGUGUAGCGGUGAAAUGCGCAGAUAUCGGGAGGAACACCAAUGGCGAAGGCAGCUCGCUGGGACGGUACUGACGCUGAGACGCGAAAGCGUGGGGAGCGAACAGG
rnacentral:rRNA from 1 species